UGCCCCAGCGUCCCCAGACCCCCCUCUGCAAUGCUGCCACACUGGCAGCUCCAACAUCGCAACACCUGUAAAUCUUAAAUUCGAGCUCGAUUUUCCUCUUUUCAUCCCUGGAGAAGUUUGACUUUUGGAUUACACCGACAGGAAACAACACAGUGAUCACCAAGUGGAAUGGAAUAAUUUAAUAACUUGGACACUUUUCUACAGAUAAGCGGAUGCUGAUUGGAUAUUCAACUGAACCUGUGAUUUUUCAUUUACUUCUGCAUGAGGAGGCUUUCCCCUCAAUUUGAAGGAUUAUAGCUGAAAUUGUCUCCAUAUCACCAUGGCUCAAGGCGCCUCCUCUGCAGCCGUUGGGUCAAAUGGAGCAGCUGCAGCACAGAGGCCCAAAGGGCUGGGGCUCCUCGGUAAGCUCAAAGUGUCUGCGGAGCUACUCAUCGCCCUGGCUGCUCUCCUGUCCUGGGUGGUGGUGGGAGUGGUGAUGUUUGACUUUGUGGAGUACAAGGCAGUUCCUGACAUUCAGCAAAUCGUUUCGGACCCUGUGAAAGCUGUAAACGAUGCUGUUGAUGAAGUAACCAGUCUGUUCAAUAAGUUUCAAGAAUGUACACCUGAUUUAAGUGACCCCAGUUCCGCCGCCACUUACGCAGCUGAGGAAAUAUCGGAAGCAAAAGAUGGAUUUGUUCGCUAUUUUUCAGAUGAUGAAGGGAACUUCUACCUCAGCUAUGUCGACCCGGUGGUCUUCGGUAGACAAGCUUUCCAUUCGACUAAUGAUUUCAUGUGUGGCGUUGUGGGCACCUUCAAAGACACACUGUGUGGGAUUGUGGACACUGUAUUGGAUGCUAUAAUGGGUAUAAAGAAAGGAGAAGUUGACAUUAGCUACAUUGACCCGGUGGUCACGGCAGAGGAUUCUUCAGUGUUACUAAUGACUUUAUAUGUGGAGUGGGGGCCUACAUCCAGGGUGUGUUCUGUGCCAUUUUUGACACAAUUUUGGAUGUAGUGAAAGGAACUGUUGAUCUUAGCUUCAUAGACCCUGUGGUGGCUGGGCAGAAAUCUUUUCAGUGCUACAAAUGAAGGCGUUAAUGGUGUAGUGGGCUACAUCCAGGAGAUGCUUUGUACCAUCGUAGACAGUGUACUGGAUGUAACAAAAGGAGCCACUGACCUUAGCUACAUUGACCCUGUGGUUAUCGGUAGGGAUGCCUUCAGUGUUGCUAACGACUUUCUGAGUAAAAUAUCAG